CCUACGGGAGACAGCAGUGAGGAAUAUUGGUCAAUGGCCGUAAGGCUGAACCAGCCAAGUCGCGUGAAGGAAGACGGCUCUAUGGUUUGUAAACUUCUUUUAUAGGGGAAUAAAGGUAUCCACGUGUGGCUAUUUGCAUGUACUCUAUGAAUAAGGAUCGGCUAACUCCGUGCCAGCAGCCGCGGUAAUACGGAGGAUGCGAGCGUUAUCCGGAUUUAUUGGGUUUAAAGGGUGCGUAGGAUGUGAGGUAAGUCAGCGGUGGAAAGCUUCCGCUCAACGGGGUGAAGUGCCAUUGAUACUGCCAGGCUGGAAUACAGAUGCGGUGGGAGGAAUGUGUGGUGUAGCGGUGAAAUGCAUAGAUAUCACACAGAACUCCGAUUGCGAAGGCAGCUCACGAAUCCGCGAUUGACACUGAUGCACGAAAGCGUGGGUAUCAAACAGGAUUAGAUACCCGAGUAGUC
rnacentral:rRNA from 1 species